UCACAAAAUUAAGAAAACUAAGUGUUGGUGUAUUCUUUCUAUCGCGCUCUUGCGCACACUGCUCUCCCGUCGCUGUUGCUGCCAUGCGUGUUACCAUGAAUAG
rnacentral:lncRNA from 1 species